rnacentral:rRNA from 1 species
GACGAACGCUGGCGGCGUGCUUAACACAUGCAAGUCGAGCGGUAAGGCCCUUUCGGGGGUACGACGAGCGGCGAACGGGUGAGUAACACGUGGGUGACCUGCCCUCAGCUCUGGGAUAAGCCUGGGAAACCGGGUCUAAUACUGGAUAUGACUCCAUGACGCAUGUUGUGGGGUGGAAAGCCUUGUGCGGCUGAGGAUGGGCCCGCGGCCUAUCAGCUUGUUGGUGGGGG